rnacentral:sRNA from 1 species
UAUUGCUUGAAACUGUCGCGCCGUUGGUU